GACGAACGCUGGCGGCGUGCCUAAUACAUGCAAGUCGAACGCAGUGGGGACGGGUGAGUAACACGUGGGUAACCUCCCAUCAGAGGGGAUAACACUGGGAAACAGGUGCUAAACCGAUACUGAUGGAUGGAUCCGCGGGGCAUUAGCUAGUGGGGGAGGUAACGGCUCACCAAGGCCACGAUGCAUAGCCGGCGUGAGCGGUGGAUGGUCCACACUGGGACUUAGAAACGGCCUAGACUCCUACGGGAGGCGGAAGUAGGGAAUCGUCGGCAAUGGACGAAGGUCUGACCGAGCAACGCGGCGUGAGUGAAGAAGGUUUUAGGAUCGUAGAACUCUGUUGUUAGAGAAGCGGUAUCUAGCCAAAAAGCCACGGCUAACUACGUGCCAGCCGCCGCGGUAAUUC
rnacentral:rRNA from 1 species